rnacentral:rRNA from 1 species
UACAGAGGGGGCAAGCGUUUGUUCGGAAUUACUGGGCGUAAAGGGCGCGUAGGCGGCCCGCUAAGUCGAACGUGAAAUCCCCGAGCUCAACUCGGGAACUGCGUCCGAUACUGGCGGGCUUGAAUCCGGGAGAGGGAUGCGGAAUUCCAGGUGUAGCGGUGAAAUGCGUAGAUAUCUGGAGGAACACCGGUGGCGAAGGCGGCAUCCUGGACCAACACUGACACUGAGGAGCGAAAGCCAGGGGAGCAAACGGGG